rnacentral:lncRNA from 1 species
GAAAAGCAAUCUUUCCCAAAACUUUCAAGUAAAACUCACUUCAUUUUCAAGAGGCCCACUUCUUAGGGUAGUCACUCUGUGAUGACGAAUGGACGUGUCUCCAGGGCGUGACGGAGCCCUCCUCUAGCCAUCACUUGCAUUCAGAUUAUUAUUCGGAUCAGAAUACUCAUCAGCUCAAAAACCAAGAGGAAAUCUUGAGGAUCCUUAACUAUGGUCUUCUACUUCUCCAUCGAAUUUCCCAUAUCUUAGCAUUAUGUUAUAGGAGCAACAGAAUAAUCUCCAUGUGUGCAAGAAUGCUACUCAAGGGUAGGUAGAAAGGAAGAGAGCUACCAGACAUGAAUGGACCGUGCAUAUGAAAUUGACUUAUGUGACCUUGGUAACCUGUGCGGACCAAUGAUGGAGACCCCAACAGGAUUAUGGAUGUCUCUGCAGAUGAUCAGUGUGGGCAAAAGACUCAAUGGUCCAGAUGCCUGUGGCUUUGCACAUUUGCUUCAUUGUCCAAUGAGACUGCUCAAACGUGAGCUAUCACACUUGCUUUCUAGCCAGUAGGAAAAAGGUAUACCUUUUCUAAGUUCCACAUCCAUCGUUUCCUUAUGUCUCAUCAGCCAAAAGAGCCAUAUAGUCAUACCUAGCUGAAAAGUGGGCCAGGAAAUAUAGUGUUUAGCUGGGUGACAAUGUGUCUGGUCAUUAAAAAUUAGAGUUCUUAUUAAGGAGUUCUUUUUGAGGGUUCUUGUUAAGGAAUUCUCUUUCUGUGCAGUUCUCUCCUCUCCAAUACUCUUUCCUGAGAACCCUAGACAUCUUCUCCCCAGACUUUCAACUCCAUCUUCUCAACUCCAGGAGUAUACUGCGCUCACCCUCCCUGCAUUACAACCUAGACUUCUUUUUAAGUCAGUAAGCUGGGGCAAUUGUAGGGCUCAUCUUGUUUGUUUCCCAUCUUGAAAGGGACACUUUCCUUCAUUGUCUGAUAUCCAGUGUCUGAAAACCUUUGUUUCAUAUAUUUUCCUUUUGUUUUUUUUUUUCCUGUCUGUGUUUCAGGUAGGAAGGGUUAAUCAGGUCCCUGUUAUUUGUCUUGGCUAGGAGUGGAAGUUCCUUACCCAAUUCACUUUUUUCCUCUAUUUAUUAUUAUAGUCAUCUCUCUCAUCCACCUGGGGCUGCUUUGUAAAGUAUUUUGGUAUUCUUUGCAAUUUGCUGGGAUGUAAGUGAAGUUGGCAUAUACACAUUACUUCUU